GAGCUAUACUGUUUUUUGAAUUAUUUGUUUAAUUAAUUAUGUUAAUCCUAUUAUAAUUUGUCACUCAUCCUAAUCAUAAUAUGGACCAAUCAUUUAUUUGUUUUGCUGUACCGAUCAAAACAAAUUUGUUUUGUUAUGAACGGGUCUGGUUAUGGUGCAUAAGUCAUCCUUAUGCACCGUGCAUAAACUUUCUCGCGCGCCCCCAAUCCAUUUCUUCUCGCGCCCCCAUACAAAACCACAAUAACCUUGAAGCGAAGUUAGGAAUGAUCGUUGACAAGGUCGGUCAAUUCUUCUCCGGCAACGACCUUCUUCCCUCCUGCGAUUCCGAUAUCAUCGCUUUGAUAAUGACAAGAAGGAUUUUGCGAAAUUGAAAGAUUUAGUAGGAGAAGAAGAAGAAGACAACACUGAUUAUGUUCCUAAAGUUUCUGCUGCAAGCCUCACAGAACGAGAAUAAGAACUUUUGAUUUUGAAAGCGGUGAAGAGUAACUCAACAGGAUCAUCGAAGCUUUGGAAGUUACGUGAUCCAAAAUUAAGAAGUAACAGUAACGGAAAAGGUUCAUGUUUUUUAAUCUAACUCUCGAUACUCACUCAUCAUCACCGUCGCCAACAACAACGUCGCCGGAAUCAUCCUCAAAAUGGUAAAACCAAAAGAGGGCAUGAAGCGUCCAUUCAAGCCGAUGAAAGACCUCAACAUGGACAAGGUCAUCUCUGAUAUCAUUACCGAUUUAUCAAAUUCUAGCUGAUUCUGGUUGUUUUACAACUCCGCUCUUGGCUUGAUUUGUGUAGUUGAGUUAGAUAAAUUGAUUUAAUGGUAAAAAUUCUUGGAUAGAUAUAUGAAAUGAUGUAUUAGAUGUUGCCUUUGUGUUUAUUAUUUUGAGGUUAGGCAACUUAUGAACUUAGAUAGUUAUUUUGGAUAUUUUAACGGUUUCAGAUGAGUAUCGUUGAUUUUGGUUUUAGGGAAACCAUAUUCAGGUUUCAUAUGCAUAUUCAGAUCAAAUUCCAAGAUACAUUUUUUGGUUCAUUCCUAUUGUUUAUAUCUCAUUAAAUGUAUGUUUCUUCUAUGAAUUUUCUGUUGCUUAAAUGUUCCUUUUUUGAGUUGGACCUUAACAAAUCCCACCUUUAGAAAGGCACAUGAUCCAUUUUCUGUUUCUAAUCACUGUGUAUGUUAGGCUUUUUUUAUUAAGGUGUUUAAAAUUGAUUUUAGAAUGGUUUCAGAGAGUUGUACUCUAAAACCAUUUAGAGUUGGUAGAAUGGUUUCAGAGAGUUGUACUCUGAAACCAUUUUGCUGGUAGAAUGGUUUCAGGUAGUUGAUGUUUAAUUGUUGCUUCCUAAACCAUUUUGCUGGUAUAAUGGUUUCAAAUGAUUAUGUUCCAGUUACAUCCUUAGUUUAGGCCAUUUGGAGGAACUACAAAAUUAACAUCAGUUCAUUUAUCUUAUCAAUCAAUUAUGAUUAUCUUUUUUUGUAAAACUUAUAGAUUGUUGGAGAUAAUAUACAAGGUGCUGUGUUUGGAGAGCUGCUAGAUUGCCUCUUGAAACCUAUAAACAUCAAAGAGAAAAUAUCAAAUAUGUUAACUUCAUUUUGUCAUGGACAAUGCUUCUUAAUAAUGCACUUCUUCUUAAAGUAUGAUUUAUUUUUGACAAUUUUGCGCAAAGGGAUUGAUAUAGGUUGUUUUUACUUGUAGGCUUGAUGCUACUUGCAUCUCUUGGAAGCGAAUGCGAGGAAACUAUGUUAAAAUAAUUGAUGUUGUUGGAGUUUGGCAAGAGAACAAUGUUGUUGAAACUGAAAAGACCAUUGAAGCUCUUAAAAGAGUUGCAUAGUAAAUUUAGAAAAGUUCUCAGAAUUGAUGUUAUUCUUGUUGUAUAAAUUGUUGUAGACCUUUGGAUGUAUUUAUAUAUUUUAAGUUAUUUUAUGUGUCAUCUUGGGUAGAAAUUGUAAUAUCACCACAUACAUAUUGUAAAGAAUUUAGACCUAUAUUUGUGUACUAUCGAUUAAUGCAAUUAGAUUUCUAAUGAUUUUGCAAUAUCAUUUUUCUGGUUUCAA